rnacentral:pre_miRNA from 1 species
GCGCGCCGUCGGAACAGCGAGAAGGGCCGGCCCUCCCGUGGGGAGAGCCGGCCCUUGUCGUUGAUUCAGCCGAUCAGA